GGUCUGGGCGCAGCGCAAGCUGACGGUACAGGCC
rnacentral:misc_RNA from 1 species